AUUGAUCGGCGAUUUUUCAUUCAAAAUUUUUUGCAGGAUAUAUGACUUUAUCAUUAAACAUAGCCAAAUGUUUAUGUUUUUAUUAGCUCAAAGAGACCUGUUGAACCAAUUACAGAUGUGAUGGAUUAAACAAAAACUAAGUGAUGGUCCAAUAAACAGCUUAAGAUUGCUGAAAUUAUGAAAUCUUGGAAUUACUACAACUAAUUUUUCGGGUGUAAUCAUUUGCCCAUUGAACAAGAAAAAAUUCAAAAAAAAAUCAAGGAUUGAUUUCGAUAUCAAUACAUUGAAUUCCAUCAAUGAAACGGAACCAGAAUGCUC